rnacentral:misc_RNA from 1 species
GAAAUGCGAUAAUUAAUGUGAAUUGCAGAAUUCAGUGAAUCAUCGAGUCUUUGAACGCACAUUGCGCCCCCUGGUAUUCCGGGGGGCAUGCCUGUCCGAGCGUCAUUACUGCCCUCAAGCACGGCUUGUGUGUUGGGCUUCCGUCCCUGGCAACGGGGACGGGCCCAAAAGGCAGUGGCGGCACCAUGUCUGGUCCUCGAGCGUAUGGGGCUUUGUCACCCGCUCCCGUAGGUCCAGCUGGCAGCUAGCCUCGCAACCAAUCUUUUUAACCAGGUUGACCUCGGAUCAGGUAGGGAUACCCGCUGAGCUUAAGC